rnacentral:rRNA from 1 species
GCCAUCGGCCAUAUCACGUUGAGUACGCCGGUUCUCGUCCGAUCACCGAAGCUAAAUAACGUUGGGCUCGGGUAGUACUUGGAAGGGAGACCGCCUGGGAACACUGAGUGUUGAUCGCA